rnacentral:rRNA from 1 species
CCUGGUGUUGCAGCCCUUUUUUAUGUUUAACCUUUUUUUUUUUGGUUAAAACUUUAUGACUCCAUAACUUUAGACCGUGAGGCCAAACUUGGCAUGUGAUACCUUUUCGGAAAGCCCAAAGACAGCCCUCCGACGAAAGAAGCAGGACAAUUGAACUUUUCCAUUGACUUUUUGUCGACCCCAAAUUUUGACCUUUAAGUACUUUUUCGGGCAUUUCCGUGAUUUGGGCUAUAUUACGGACCCAAAAUUACUUGUUCAAGCAUUGUUUUCGAAUUUUUUCAUGCAUCAAAGCUCGUUAAGACUAGAUGGGGUAUCCCUACAUAGCGGGUGGGACCCACGGCGAAUGGUUCAUCAAGUCUUCAAAAAAGAAUAUAUACGAUUGCAUUGCAUAUACUAACGGAUGCGAUCAUACCAGCACUAAUGCACCGGAUCCCAUCAGAACUCCGCAGUUAAGCG